CAGCACCUCAAGUGGUCAGGAUGAUUAUCGGGCCUAAAGCAUCCGUAGCCGGCGCUGUAAGUUUUCGGUUAAAUCUGUACGCUCAACGUACAGGCUGCCGGGAAUACUGCAGCGCUAGGGAGUGGGAGAGGUAGACGGUACUCGGUAGGAAGGGGUAAAAUCCUUUGAUCUAUUGAUGACCACCUGUGGCGAAGGCGGUCUACCAGAACACGUCCGACGGUGAGGGAUGAAAGCUGGGGGAGCAAACCGGAUUAGAGACCCGAGUAGUCC
rnacentral:rRNA from 1 species